UCGAAUCCUGCAUAGCAGAACGACCUGUGAACUAGUACUUAUAACAAGGUGUAGCGGGGAUCGAUGCUUCGGUUUCUAUCCUGGUGAAGCCUCGCCGUCUUCUGUUCAUGGGCCUUUUUAGGGCCUCAUGGACAUAUAGUCGGCACAAUCAACAAACCCCCGGCACGGCAUGUGCCAAGGAAAACUAAUCAUAAGAGUGCUUGUGCAAUGACGCCCAGUUUUGGUGCGGGCAUUGUACGUGGCUUCUUUAUAAUCUAAAACGACUCUCGGCAACGGAUAUCUCGGCUCACGCAUCGAUGAAGAACGUAGCAAAAUGCGAUACUUGGUGUGAAUUGCAGAAUCCCGUGAACCAUCGAGUUUUUGAACGCAAGUUGCGCCCGAAGCCUUCCGGUUGAGGGCACGUCUGCCUGGGCGUCACGCAUCACGUCGCCCCCACCACACAUCCAUUCUCGGUAUGUGAUGGACGGGGCGGAGAUUGGUCUCCCAUGCAUUUAGCGUGGAUGGCCUAAAUCGGAGCCUCCUCAAGAGAGACGCACGGCUAGUGGUGGUUGAUAAUACAGUCGUCUCGUGUCGUGCGUUUUUUAGUCCUUGGUUUGGAAGCUCUUAAAUCACCCUCACCCGUUGUCUUUGGAUGACGAUUCGA
rnacentral:rRNA from 1 species